rnacentral:rRNA from 1 species
AGUGGCGAAAGGGGCAGUAAUGCAUGGGUAACCUACCUUGGGGAUGGGCAUAGCCGGUCGAACGAGCGGGUAAUCCCAGAGAUUCAGCGGGCAUCGAAAGAAUCGCCUCAAGAGGGGCCCAUGUGCUAUUAGCUAGUUGGUGGGGUAACGGCCUACCAAGGCUAAGAUGGCUAGCGGGUGUGAGAGCACGACCCGCGCCACUGGCACUGAGACACUGGCCAGACACCUACGGGUGGCUGCAGUCGAGGAUCUUCGUCAAUGGGCGCAAGCCUGAACGAGCGACGCCGCGUGCGCGAUGAAGGCCUUCGGGUUGUAAAGCGCGAAAGUGGGGAGAAAUGAUCAAUCCACAGUAAGGACGGGCUAAGUUCGUGCCAGCAGCCGCGGUAAGACGAACUGUCCUAACGUUGUUCGGAAUCACUGGGCUUACAGGGCGCGUACGCGGUCGGACAAGUCGGCGGUGAAAUCCUGCAGCUUAACUGUAGAAGUGCCUUCGAUAC